CUUUUUUGCAAGACAGUAAUGCAAUCUGAGAUCUGGGAGGAGUGCUUCUGCAGGCAAGCAGGCCAUGGGUAAUGUGCCAGUCAAAAUGAUCUAGCUGCUUCUGAGAAAAAGGUUAGAAAAAAACACAUGAGAAUUAAAAUAAUAAUAAUAAUAAUAUGAUCUUAAAGAAAAUAUUUAUCGUCUUUGACUUCCCUGUUCCCUUGCUAAUAAGAACUUUGCAAACCACCACUAAAACAUCAGAGAUUCACAGAGAGGACAGCAACCUUCCAUUGCUGCCAAUUAACUGAUUACUUAAAAUGACAGCUUCUGUUUCAGUCUAUUUAGAACCAAAGAAGCACCUUAAAGAAAGUGUCAUGGUUUUUAAAGUCAAGCAUUCAAGAGUAACAAAGACAGCAAUCCAGCUGUUUAUAUAUGGUCAGCUCAGAUCUAACAGGAAAGGGAACUAAAGAUCUCCAGCCUGUCACAAAGACACUUUUCAGAGCCAGGGCUAGUAAUAUUCACUUAUGAUUUCACUUAUAGUAUUCACUUAUGAUUAUAAUCAUCAUCCAGGAAGCUACAUAGCUACCUUCCUGUCUGGUAAAGAAGUAGCAAUGCUUUGUGUGUGCUCUUACAUAAGUAUGGAUUUUUUGGUUUACUGAUAGAAAAAUAUGUUUCAGUGCAUAAAGCAACUAUACAUGCCCUUAGGGCCUAAUCCCACACCACCAGUCCUACAUUUCUAGUCUGUAUAUAUUUCAGCAGCAGGACUGUCAUUAAAAACUUCUGCUUACUGUUGGGAGCCUACACCUUGCCCACAGGUGCUUCUAAUUUCUAAAAGAGCAGGUGGGGGUUGUAAACAAUCCACCAGCAGAAGUGUGAAGGCAAACAUUAAAUGCUGAAUGUGCUUAUUUUAGGAGGUAGGAGGCUGAAUCUGAACAAAAACUCAGAAGUUCAGUAUUGGAAGUAUCAGUUUAUAUCCAAGACUUAUUUUGCAGGAGGAUUGAACUUCAGUCUUGACAAGAAGUGUGAAAGUCUUCACCACUUGCUAUCCAGAUACCAAAAGGAAAAAAUCCUUCAGGGUUCACCUAAACAUCAUUUACAGUGUAGCUGUCUAAGUGACCAAAUACCACUGCAUUCCUUUCCUGUGAACGUGGCAAUUCCUAAAACCGAGGGAAGUACAGAAUUUCAGCAGGGAGAGCCUGAACCUCAGGACACUCCCUACUUGGAGGGUGAAUCAGGCUGCGCAUGAAGUAUGAGAGGCUGUCUUCUGCAAGUACUUGGUUUGGCCAAAAAGCUGGAAGAACGAAGCCAAAGCUGCAGAAAGAAGAGCCUGGUUUACAGUCAGGAAUAUGUGAUAACCUGGGGCGUUUUGCUCUGGAUCUGUCCCUGUCAUAACCCUGUCCUGUCCUGUCCUGCCCUCUCUUCUCUUCCCUCCUCUCCUGUCUUUAUUUAGUGCUAUUCGGUGCUAAGUCCAUGGAAAAAAUCUUGGAAAAUAAUAAUUCCAAGACUUAAGAAGCUGGGGAACAGCAGUGAAUUGUAAGAUUUAAUUCUAACCUAUUCAGUUGUGAAAUAACAUCCUUUCAGCAUUCUGAAAGUCUUCUGAAAAUAUUAGUAUUAUGGUCAAAUUUAGACAUUAAAUUGGCUAUUAUUUUAUCAUCAGUUUGGCUAUACAGUGGUAACACAGCAGAUACAGACAGCAUAAUAUAUUGGCCCUUAUGCAAAAACUACUGCACAUUGCAUUAAGAACCUGUUUUAAAAUGUUUUAUUAGCAAAACUCCAGAAUUCUGAGCAGUUUUGCUGUUGCCACAGUCUCCAUAGUUACAUGUGAUUAAAUUUCUAAAAUAAAAAAGAAACAGCAGAUCUGGGGAGGUCGGUC
rnacentral:lncRNA from 1 species